AACCGCCGAACUGGGGAGAGGAUGCCAGCAGCGUUUGAACAACAGGGGCGUUGGAGAGGGGAGGGGGAGGGGGAGGCUUGAGGUUUGGGAUCUCCGCGGCGUGUGGCGUUGCUGUGCAGCUCGCUCUACGCCGGCGCGCCGUCUCCGCUGCUGGGACUGCUGCUGCUCCUGAUGCUCAGGAGGGGCGUCGCCUCGCGGGGCCCCAGCCUACGGCUCGGGCUUCUCGGGCGCGGCGGCGGCGGCGUCGGGCGCGCGCGCGGAGAGUCGUCGGAUCAGCAGUCCGGCAGCGGCGGCGGCGGCGGCGUCCUAUUGCCGCGCAGGAGGGGCAGGGGACGGGCAAGCAGGGGGAGGGGGCAGCCCCUGCGGGUCCCAGCGGCGGCGCCCAGGAGCGAGGGCGCAGCGGCAGCGCUCAAGAGCAGCGGCCUGGGGGCCUAGUCCCUCUCCGCGGCCAGCGGCGGCGGGGGACGCUCCGCGGCGGGACCGUCGGGCGGCGGGGGGGUCGCAGCGGCGAAGUCAGGUGGACCAAUGGUCGGAGCGGGGGGUGCUAAGAUGCUGCUCGGCGUUCAUAAUACCGGUUCGUGACGUUGGGGGAGAUUCAUAGUUUACUUCAUACCUUAACCGACAAGAUGACAUUGUCAAAAGUUGAACCGACGUAUCCUCUGUCCUAGAAUCAUAACUGCGAAGAAUACCGUUACAGACGAACAACCAAAUCGGAAAAACCAUAAAUUACACCUACGGUAUUGUUGAGUCAACGACACGUUAACCACUUGGGACUGUUCCAACCUCAACACUAUUAGCCGUUUUGUUCCCGACUCCUGGACUUAACAUAACUACGUCGACACCAAUGUAUGAACAGGCUCUCGAUGUUCAGAACAACUUUAAUUGAACCGUGCACCUAUAAAUCCUUAAGGAAAUUAUACUUAGACUCAACACAGAACAACGUAGUUAUGUUGGACUGGUUGAGGAGGUAAAACUAAUAAACCGUUAAGACUAUUGAAGUGUUACUCAAUUCAGUACUCGAUGUAAAACCUUAAUCGUAGUACCGCAAGCAGACUGGUAGAAAAGUUUUUCAACUACCUCUAAACCAACUCUUUUUGUGCGACGUCUAAGGCCUUAUUUCAUGUAGUCGUUCACGUCGUCAACUAUAGUAGUUAACCAUGUCCCUAAAGUCGUAAUCCCUAGUAGGUAACAAUACUUAUACUCCUCAGUGUAGAACGGUUCUAGUUAACAACCUGGACUAGUUGACGAGGUAAACUCGAAAACUCUAUUCUUAUCAGCACAACUUGAACUCCAUCACAGCUCCUUCGGCACCAGUCACAAAACCGCGACGGACUCAAAAACCUCAAUUGUACUUAGACUCAACGCAGAACAACGUAGUUAUGUUGGACUGGAUGAGGUAAAACUCAUAAACCAUCAAGACUAUUGAAAUGUUACUUAAUUCAGCACCCUAUGUAAAACCUUCAUCGUAGUACUACAAGAAAACUGGCAAAAGGGUUGUUCAACAACCUCUAAGCCAGUUCCUUUCACGUGACGCCUAUGGUCGUAUCACAGGUAGUCGCUCACGUCGUCAACUAUAGUAGUUAGCCAUGUCCCUGAAGCCGUAAUCCGUAGACGUACUACGAACCUAUGACUUAACAGAUGAAAAACUAUACCUGUUGACUCUAAAGUAACAGGUUCUGGGAUACACGAUCAUUCUAACGCUCAAACAAACUACCAUUUCUCUUCUAACUUCGUCUGUCUGUUGAACCAUCGGAAACGUCCUUCUGUUGUAGACCAUCCUUCAUUGUAUCCUAAGGACGACGGACAACGAAUACGGAAGAAGUACAUCCUUGAAGAGAAAUUGAAAUUUACCUCUUAAUCGGAUUAUUACGGGUUAUUCGAUCGGAAUAUACCUCCCAGAACCUUCUCUUUGGGGACACAAAAUCCGGCUGACGUAUGAAUGAGAGGUUCUAUGGUAACCGCUUGACGGCGCGACAUGACGAAACCGCGUAUACGUAACCGUACUACUUACCAACUCUCAAGGACUGAAACGCACUUCAAUACCCCGACAAUGACCGAGUGAACCUCUAUUCGAAAAGAAUCGUCUUAGACUAAUGUUAUAGACUUACACAUCAGUACUUAGUCUAUCAGCACAAAACCCAACUCGUCGUCGAAGUUGCCAUAAAGGAAGAGUCUCGAAAGAAUUCUUUACAACCGGAAACGUUAAUGAUGGAGUAAGCCUAUACCGUACGUACGACCUGGUAGUGGAGGCGCGGUUGCGUCUAAUCUUUCGUCGUUGAAACUACUGCGAUAACCAGGUGCAAUGUGGGUACCGAUACUUCCCUUACCAUCUCCUAUACGUUCCCCACCAUCCCCUAUACUUCACCCACCAUCCCCUAUACUUCCCCCACCAUCUCCUCCACGUUCCAAGGCUCUACAAAGAGGUGGUAUACCUUCUCCUCCGUCCAGCGUGCCCUCCCCCCCGAUAUUACCAGGACCUUUCCUCAAGUAAGAUUAACUACCUCUUAUACAAGUGUCCUUACUAGGUUUAGAAAGUGGUUCUCUUCCACUAACCUAUACGGUCUUAGGCUCGACACCUUUGGAGUUGAAACGAGCUUCUUCGGUGACAUUGUUGACGUUGUUUGUGGCGAUACUCAGAUCAGCGUCAGGAGUGUCCCCAAUGAAACUGAGAGGAGGUGCUCACGGACGUUCCGGCGAACCAGGUGGUUCACUAGCACGGGGAGGUUCUCUUUACCGGUCCAUGUUCGGUCGUGGGGCACUAACCCCACACCCACUAGGAUCUUCAAUAGGUCGAUCUAGCGGAGGUCUAGCACAUCCUGCUAAAGGUCUAGGCAACGUCUCACUUUCCCCAAAGGCACCACUUGCACUCAACGCACUGGGACACUUCAAACUCACCAGACGACGCCUCAUGUUCGUCUCCCUCGCAGGUGUACCACCCAACAUAGAACUGUCCUCGGCUAGAGGAGUCCCCUCGACCCCCUCGCUAUACGCCCUGUCUUCGUCUAGAGGACGUCCAUUGUCUGGUUACUUCCCACGAAAGAACCCGUCUCCAGCUGGUCUGGAUCUCAUACCACCAAGUAUACAUCCGGCCCCCGCCAACCUACGACCCGCGCCCGCACCUGCACCCGCACCGGCACAAAUGUCCGGUCCUCCACUAGGUAUGGGGCCGCUCCCAGCUCUACUAGCCGCGCGACGAGAAGUACCAUCCCUACUACCUGCCAUGAUCAAGUAGGAACCUUGACUACGAGACCUUUCUUUUUAGAUCAAUUCUGCCACGUCCAGUUCGGACAUUAUAAUUUGAUGGGCAUGACAAAGGAGUUGACACUACUGUAAACGUUACAAGACUUUACUUGUUCAGGUGAUAUGUAUCCUACCACCAUAAUAAAACCAAGUCACUCGUCGACCCAACAAUACAGUUUCGACUAGACUAAUAAACGAAGAAACCCAACGAAGAGCCAACCCAAUAUGGGAGUUCGGACCAGCCCACCUCAUAUACGGUUGUAUUCCUAAAGUCCAACGAGCCGUCGACAACCAGUGUACGUAACCGGCCGGGAACACCAGGUCCUCAACACCCAUAUUGGUCUCCCAAGGCGGUAGUGCUGUUAUACUCGAAAGUCACCUUGGGUGAUGUAACGUCCUACCGAGCUUUGUAGUUACUUUUUCAGUAGUAACCGUCUCGACCUUCUUUGUGUUCAAGACGAGUACAAAGUGGUUCCGGAUAAAUCCUAAACGUGACCCUUGCCCCUGUCCAGCGCCAUGCGGAACUAAACACAAUACUUACACAUAUAGAACACGACCAAUGUGGUCCACAUAGUUAAGUAAAACGUGUAUAUUAAGUGUUUUUAUUUUAUUUAGUAAAACGUGUAUCCUGGUUAACAUUAGAUUCACAAGUGUAUAUGAAGUAAACAGAACGUACCAUCAAAAUAA
rnacentral:rRNA from 1 species